GAGACAUGGGCACAGACACUAGGGACACUGGGAGACAUGGGAACACUGACACCAGGGACACUGGUUGGGAGACAUGGGGACACAAACAUUUGGGGAUAUUGUGUCCCUAGUGUCUGUUUCCCCAUGUCUCCCAGUGUCCCCAUGUCUCAGUGUCCCUAUGGGU